rnacentral:rRNA from 1 species
GAUGAACGCUGGCGGCGUGCCUAAUACAUGCAAGUCGAGCGAACAGACGAGGAGCUUGCUCCUCUGACGUUAGCGGCGGACGGGUGAGUAACACGUGGAUAACCUACCUAUAAGACUGGGAUAACUUCGGGAAACCGGAGCUAAUACCGGAUAACAUGUUGAACCGCAUGGUUCAACAGGUAAAGACGGUCUUGCUGUCACUUAUAGAUGGAUCCGCGCCGCAUUAGCUAGUUGGUAAGGUAACGGCUUACCAAGGCAACGAUGCGUAGCCGACCUGAGAGGGGAAUCGGCCACACGGGACCUGAGACACGGUCCAGACUCCUACGGGAGGCAGAAGUAGGGAAACUGCCGCAAUGGGCGAAAGCCUGACGGAGCAACGCCGCGUGAGUGAAGAAGGUCUUCGGAUCGUAAAACUCUGUUAUUAGGGAAGAACAAAUGUGUAAGUAACUAUGCACGUCUGGACGGUACCUAAUCAGAAAGCCACGGCUAACUACGU